rnacentral:tRNA from 1 species
AGGUGGUAUAGCCAAGCGGUAAGGCAGUGGAUUGCAAAUCCUUGAUCCUCAGUUCGAAUCUGAGUGCCACCUA